GACGAACGCUGGCGGCGUGCUUAACACAUGCAAGUCGAACGAGACGAUUGAAAGCUUGCUUUUGAAAGUCGAGUGGCAAACGGGUGAGUAACGCGUAGGCAACCUGCCUUCGAGAUGGGGACAACAGUCCGAAAGGACUGCUAAUACCGAAUGUUGUGACGAAACCACAUGGAUUCGUCAUUAAAGAUGGCCUCUACUUGUAAGCUAUCGCUCGAAGAUGGGCCUGCGUCUGAUUAGCUGGUUGGUGGGGCAACGGCCUACCAAGGCGACGAUCAGUAGCCGGUCUGAGAGGAUGAACGGCACAUUGGGACUGAGACACGG
rnacentral:rRNA from 1 species